rnacentral:rRNA from 1 species
CGUAACAAGGUCUCCGUAGGUGAACCUGCGGAGGGAUCAUUACACAAAUAUGAAGGCGGGCUGGAACCUCUCGGGGUUACAGCCUUGCUGAAUUAUUCACCCUUGUCUUUUGCGUACUUCUUGUUUCCUUGGUGGGUUCGCCCACCACUAGGACAAACAUAAACCUUUUGUAAUUGCAAUCAGCGUCAGUAACAAAUUAAUAAUUACAACUUUCAACAACGGAUCUCUUGGUUCUGGCAUCGAUGAAGAACGCAGCAAAAUGCGAUAAGUAGUGUGAAUUGCAGAGUUCAGUGAAUCAUCGAAUCUUUGAACGCACAUUGCGCCCUUUGGUAUUCCAAAGGGCAUGCCUGUUCGAGCGUCAUUUGUACCCUCAAGCUUUGCUUGGUGUUGGGCGUCUUGUCUCUAGCUUUGCUGGAGACUCGCCUUAAAGUAAUUGGCAGCCGGCCUACUGGUUUCGGAGCGCAGCACAAGUCGCACUCUCUAUCAGCAAAGGUCUAGCAUCCAUUAAGCCUUUUUUUCAACUUUUGACCUCGAAUCAGGUAGGGAUACCCGCUGAACUUAAG